AUCACAGCUUCAAACUUUUUGAAGGCUGCAAACUUUGCUGUGCGGCGUUAGCUUUAACUUGUAGCGACGAAUAUUUACAAACCACCGUCUUCUUAAUUCAGGAUUGCUUGGAAAUCCAUGCAAACUUAAAAAGCCCAUUAUAUUUG